rnacentral:rRNA from 1 species
CCUACGGGUGGCUGCAGUGAGGAAUAUUGGUCAAUGGUCGGAACACUGAACCAGCCAAGCCGCGUGAAGGAUGAAGGUACAACGUGUCGUAAACCUCUUUUGUCAGGGGACAAACUGGGUCACGUGUCCCCGUCUGCGUGUACCUUACGAAAAAGCAUCGGCUAACUCCGUGCCAGCAGCCGCGGUAAUACGGAGGAUGCGGGCGUUAUCCGGAUUUAUUGGGUUUAAAGGGUGCGCGGGCGGCCUGUUAAGUCAGCGGUCAAAGCCCGGGGCUCAACCCCGGCCCGCCGUUGAAACUGGGAGGCGUGAGUAGGAGAGAAGUAGGCGGAAUGCGCGGUGUAGCGGUGAAAUGCAUAGAUAUCGCGAAGAACUCCGAUUGCGAAGGCAGCAUGCCGGAUCGACACUGACGCUGAGGCACGAAAGCGCGGGUAUCGAACAGGAUUAGAUACCCGAGUAGUC